CCUACGGGAGGCUGCAGUGAGGAAUAUUGGUCAAUGGCCGGAAGGCUGAACCAGCCAAGCCGCGUGAAGGACGAAGGUGCCAAGCAUUGUAAACUUCUUUUGUCAAGGGACAAAAUCAGGCUCGAGAGCCUGACCGAGGGUACUUGAAGAAAAAGCAUCGGCUAACUCCGUGCCAGCAGCCGCGGUAAUACGGAGGAUGCGAGCGUUAUCCGGAUUUAUUGGGUUUAAAGGGUGCGUAGGGGGACUGUUAAGUCAGCGGUAAAAGCCCGGGGCGAAACCCCGGCGAGCCGUUGAAACUGGCGGUCUUGAGAUGUCGAGAGGUAUGCGGAAUGCGCAGUGUAGCGGUGAAAUGCUUAGAUAUUGCGCAGAACUCCGAUUGCGAAGGCAGCAUACCGGCGGCGAUCUGACGCUGAGGCACGAAAGCGUGGGUAUCGAACAGGAUUAGAUACCCUUGUAGUC
rnacentral:rRNA from 1 species